rnacentral:rRNA from 1 species
GGAAACUUACGCUAAUACCGCAUACGACCUACGGGUGAAAGCAGGGGAUCUUCGGACCUUGCGCGAUUGAAUGACCCGAUGUCGGAUUAUCUAGUUGGCGGGGUAAAGGCCCACCAAGGCGACGAUCCGUAGCUGGUCUGAGAGGAUGAUCACCCACACUGGAACUGAGACACGGCCCACACUCCUACGGGAGGCAGCAGUGGGGAAUAUUGGACAAUGGGCGCAAGCCUGAUCCACCCAUACCGCGUGGGUGAAGAAGGCCUUCGGGUUGUAAAGCCCUUUUGUUGUGAAAGAAAUCCAUCUGGUUAAUACCCGGGUGGGAUGACGGUACCCAAAGAAUAAGCACCGGCUAACUUCGUGCCAGCAGCCGCGGUAAUACGAAGGGUGCAAGCGUUACUCGGAAUUACUGGGCGUAAAGCGUGCGUAGGUGGUCGUUUAAGUCUGUUGUGAAAGCCCUGGGCUCAACCUGGGAACUGCAGUGGAAACUGGACGACUAGAGUGUGGUAGAGGGUAGCGGAAUUCCUGGUGUAGCAGUGAAAUGCGUAGAGAUCAGGAGGAACAUCCAUGGCGAAGGCAGCUACCUGGACCAACACUGACACUGAGGCACGAAAGCGUGGGGAGCAAACAGGAUUAGAUACCCUGGUAGUCCACGCCCUAAACGAUGCGAACUGGAUGUUGGGUGCAUUUGGCACGCAGUAU